CGUUGUUAUGGAAGCACUGACUCUAAGGGAUUAUUUGGACGCUUUGCCCUUAGGAGAGCUGGUAGCGUAACCGACCAUUUAAGG
rnacentral:ncRNA from 2 species